AUCCUGGCUCAUGACGAUCGCUGGCGGCGUGCUUAAUACAUGCAAGUCUACGAGAAAGUUAGCUUCGGCUAGCUAGUAAAGUGGCGAACGGGUGAGUAACGCGUAGGUAACCUGCCUAUAGAUUUGGGAUAACCCUGCUAACGCAGAGCUAAUACCGAAUAAAGCGUUUUUUUCGCAUGGAAGAAACGUUAAAGAAGGGGAUUCGUAAGAACCUUUCGUCUAUAGAUGGACCUGCGUUCCAUUAGUUUGUUGGUGAGGUAACGGCUCACCAAGGCGAUGAUGGAUAGCCGACCUGAGAGGGUGAUCGGCCACACUGGGACUGAGAUACGGCCCAGACUCCUACGGGAGGCAGCAGUAGGGAAUAUUGCGCAAUGGCCGAAAGGCUGACGCAGCAACGCCGCGUGACUGAUGAAGCUCUAAGGAGUGUAAAGGUCUGUUAGGAGGGAAGAAUUGUUCGGAUGUAAAUAACGUUCGAAUCUGACGGUACCUCCAGAGAAAGCUCCGGCCAACUCCGUGCCAGCAGCCGCGGUAAUACGGGGGGAGCAAGCGUUGUCCGGAAUUACUGGGCGUAAAGGGCGCGUAGGCGGAUUUGUAAGUCAAAAGUGAAAUCUAUCGGCUCAACCGAUAAACGGCUUCUGAAACUACAAGUCUUGAGUAAGGCAGAGGAAAGUGGAAUUCCUGGUGUAGCGGUGAAAUGUGUAGAUAUCAGGAAGAACACCAGUUGCGAAGGCGGCUUUCUGGGCCUUUACUGACGCUGAGGCGCGAAAGCGUGGGGAGCGAACAGGAUUAGAUACCCUGGUAGCCCACGCCCUAAACUAUGUGCACUAGGUGUUGGAGGUUCGACCCCUUCAGUGCCGCAGCAAACGCAAUAAGUGCACCGCCUGGGGAGUACGAUCGCAAGGUUGAAACUCAAAGGAAUUGACGGGGGCCCGCACAAGCGGUGGAGCAUGUGGUUUAAUUCGAUCUACGCGAAGAACCUUACCGGGGUUUGACAUACAGUUGAAAUCCCGAGAAAUCGGGACCCCUUCGGGUAACUGUACAGGUGCUGCAUGGCUGUCGUCAGCUCGUGUCGUGAGAUGUUGGGUUAAGUCCCGCAACGAGCGCAACCCCUGUCCUUAGUUGCCAGCAGGUAAAGCUGGGGACUCUAGGGAGACUGCCGUUAAUAAAACGGAGGAAGGUGGGGAUGACGUCAAGUCAUCAUGGCCUUUAUACCCCGGGCCACACACGUGCUACAAUGGCCGGUACAGCGGGAAGCGAUGUCGUAAGGCGGAGCAAAUCCCUUAAAACCGGUCUCAGUUCGGAUUGAAGUCUGCAACUCGACUUCAUGAAGUUGGAAUCGCUAGUAAUCGCGGAUCAGAAUGCCGCGGUGAAUACGUUCCCGGGCCUUGUACACACCGCCCGUCACGCCAUGGAAGUUGGUAGUACCCGAAGUCGUCACGCUAACCUUUCGAGGAAGCAGACGCCGAAGGUAAGACCGAUGACUAGGGCGAAGUCGUAACAAGGUA
rnacentral:rRNA from 1 species